UGUUAAUCGUGGGGCUGCUGUUCAGGCCCUGAGUGGAGGACAGGGUGGUGGUGGGGACCAAGCAGGAGGGACAGAGGUGAGUUAGAGAGGCCGCACCCCAGGGUCCCUGCUGUGUGCGGCGGGAGGCGGCAUCCCUGUCCCGCUCCCCCUAGGGCCAGCAACUCCUCUGCCCCUCACUGUGAGACCAAAAGUGUCUCAGGCCCUGAUCAAGGCCUCCUGGGAGACAAAAAAUCAUCCCCACUCUCUGAUUUCAUGGUGAGGGUUGCUCUCCAACUGCCCCAAACUUCUGGUCCUUGUUAAGAGAGACAUCGGAGGCCCACCCAGAGUUUAGCAUUUGGUCAGUCCAGGUGCAGGCUGAGAAUUUCUGCUCUGAACAAGUAGCUGAUGCUGCUGACCUGCAGGCGACACAUCUGCCAUGCUCCGUCUGUGAAGUCCCCAGUUCGGCAGUUCCCAGAUCUCUCUGCGCGUUACAAUCCCCCGGACCCUUUCACACCUUCCAAACACCACCUCUGGGAGUGCGAGGGGCAGCCUGAGCUCUCCAAACAGGCCUGAGGGCUUCUGCUCUGUGCCCUGCGCCUCAUCUUGGUGACUGGGGCCUGAGCCACGCCCGUCCUCCUGAGGCUGCGUCACGCAAGUCUCUCUGCACAGCUACAUCACAAAUGCUAUUCAUGACCAUGCAGGCUGCCUCUGCGGACAGGGAGGAGGAAGAAGACCAUGACAGAAGUGUUGGAUCACGGCGUUCCACGGGCAGCAGCUCACUCUCACUGCAGAAACAGUCCCUAAGGGACCAGCCUGGAUGCCGAGCCCUGGCCCGGAGCUCUGACGGGCAUGGAAGGAGGAUAAAAUGAGCAACAGCACAGGACUCCUGAUGGAGACCGCAGACGGGGACAAUGUGAGUCCACCCUCAUCAGCUGAGGGCCACCGUGAACCACAUUUGGUGGGGAAACAGAAAAGGAAGCGGGGCUGAACCCCUCGACUCAGGAGCUCCACGGCCCUGGAGAGGAGACCCAGGGUGCAGCAGAGGAGCCCCUAGGUCACAGGUGACACAGCCCUCACGGAGUCGCGGGAGACGAAGCCGUGGAGAGCAAAGCUCGGAGAUGGGGAGGCUGGGAGCUGUCAGAUGGUGAGCACGAGUGUCGAGUGCACCGUGACUUUACAGGACCUGCUGACCUGAGGAAAGGAACAGCCCUGACAUUUGUUAAAUACAUGCUGUGUGGAAGACAGAACCUUCCCAUUUUUCUUACUCAACACUCACAAUAACCCUAGGAAGUGGAUGUGAGGAGCCCAUUAACAGAGAGGUAAGCAGAGUCACGGAGGUCAUCAAGGUGGUCAUUGCACUGGUGUC
rnacentral:lncRNA from 1 species